GUGCUCACUUCGGCAACACAUAUACUAAAAUUGGAAUGAUACAGAGAUUAGCAUGGCCCCUGCACAAGGAUGACAUGCAAAUUCGGGAAGCGUUCCAUAUUUUU
ensembl:snRNA U6 U6 spliceosomal RNA